rnacentral:lncRNA from 1 species
UUCUUUUCCGCGCCGGAGCUUCUCUUCAACCUCAUCCUCAAGUCGCUGUGACCGCACCAUGCAUAUUCACAUUCCAAGCUAGAAGACGCUUCUCUCCUGCAUGAUGUACCUGCUGAUCACCAACGACUUCCUUGAUUCUACAAUAUGUGGUGUGUGUUUAUACACGUAAGAUUAGACCGUUACCAAGCAAAUCAACAAGGGUCUAGUGUUUUUCUUCCGCCUUACGCUCAAAUCAGUGUACAUUAACAGGACCUAUAUCACAUGGAAAAUAUGAAUACAGGAAUAAUAACAGGACAUAUAUUCCGCGGAGUUUUUUUUUUUAAGUAAAGUGUAUUGGCGGUCCUUAAUCUUGUAGGGUUGUCAUAUAGAUCCCUAAACUCUCAAAAUGCAUAUCCAAGUCUCAGAACUUGUCAAAGUGUAUCAUCUAGGUCCCAAAUCGACACAUCCCCUCUAGGAUCCUACGUGGCGCUGAUAUAGCAUGCCACAUGGACCGAUGGACGUGACGUGUCCUUUUCUUUUUCUUUUUCUUUUCCGUUUUCUUCUUAUUCUUCUUUUUUUCCUUUCUUCUGCUCACGUCACAAAGAAAGGAGAAUAAAGGGGGAAAAGAGAAGAAAAAAGAAAAGGAAAAAAUUUAAAUGGGUCCUAUUUGUCAGUCAAAAUAAUACCACGUCAUGUCCGUGUGACAUACCACAUCAACGCCACGUAGGAUCCUGAAGUGGUUGUGGCGAUUUGGGACCUAGAUGACACACUAUGACAAGUUCUGAGACUUGGAUAUGCAUUUUGAGAGUUUAGGGACCUAGAUGACACACCCCUACAAGUUUAAGGACCACCCAUACACUUUACUCAAGAGAGAGAGAGAGAGAGAGAGAGAGAGAGAGAAUACCUCCUCCGAUAAGUUAGUUUGUCCAUCAGGGAAAAAGGCCAAACACCAAGCGCAAUGCAGGGAGAAAAACAAGCUGGCCCACAAGCUAUUUCUUGCAUCAUAUAACAUAUUUUCAGCCAUUUCACAUGCUAGAAAUGUAGACAUCUCCUAUGAGACAAUCAUUUAAAAUAGAACCCACUGGACGACCUGCUUGGUUUGGCAUUUGGAAUUGACAGCGCAAAUGUAGUUGUCCUGGAGGAUAUCAAUCAAAUAAUCCCCCUCCAUCCUUCAGUA